AAUACAUUGGGAAAUAUAAAUGCUGUAAGAAAGAGAAAUACAAGUAAUGAUAUUGAAGGGAUUGAUUCUAUACCAAUGAAAUCUUUGAGCCAGCCAAUCUUCAAAGUUCAUUGGUUCGAAGCCAUAGUUUAGAGUCAUUGCCCAUCCUCAGACCGAGUGUGUCCGCCUCGCCGAUAAGUGUGGUUGUCUUAUCUGAGUGUGUGAUUCACGGACAUACAGGUGGCUCGUGCUGCCUAACUGGAGGGUGGUAGACAAGCGUGCUUCCCUGUACGGUGAGAUCUGGUUGGCGUGAUCGUGACUGAGGACCUAGGCGUCUUCCUCAACUCAGGCGUCCUUGAUUUGCAAUAAAGAAAUGCGGAUAAAGAAGAAGACUGGGAAGAAAGAACAGAAAAUGAGGAAGGUGAAGAAAACGUGGAUGAAGGGUCAAUAGAAUUCUGAAACGACAGAAAAGUACACUGGUUUAUUGCAGAGGAGCGGAAGGCAAUUAUUUUAGCUGCCGACACUGGCCAGGAGACGAGAAUGAGGUGUAGCUUUCUCCUGACCUUUCAUGGCGUAGGGGACGAAGGAGGAAGAGGAGGAGGAGAAUAAGGCAGGGACGAAAAGAAGAAGGAAGAGACGGCGGAAGUGGAGAUAGGAGGAGAAGAAGGCUGGAACGAAAUGAAGAAAGAGAGGGAGGAGGAGAAGAUGGAGGACGUCUGCCGGGUCCUUUAUCCCAACGGAAUGGGAAUGCAAUGGGGCAGUGCUGGUGGCGGAGGCGGCAGAUGUUAGAGGCUUUCCGUUAAUUGCGACCCGGUUGUACGAGAAGGAGGAGGAAGAAAAGAAGGAGGAAGAAGAAGAGGAGGAGAAAAAGAGAGGAGGAGGAGGAGGAGAUAAAGAAGAGGAGACGAAGAAAAAGGAGAGAAGAAGGAGGAGGAGGAGGAGGAGGAGAAAGAAAAGAGAAGAGCAGGAAAACUUACGGUGUGGUCAUGCAUGAUGGCUUAUUCAGUGCACUCGAGACACAAAUUUAUGUACUGUAUACUUACUUUAUUUCAGACAGUGUAUUGUACGAGUAGUUUGUCAUAAGCAACCUCUCAAUGGUACUUUAAGAAAAAUUAAUAAAUCUUUGUAAAUGACUCG